rnacentral:rRNA from 1 species
GGGGAAUAUUGGACAAUGGGCGCAAGCCUGAUCCAGCAAUGCCGCGUGAGUGAUGAAGGCCUUAGGGUUGUAAAGCUCUUUUACCCGGGAAGAUAAUGACUGUACCGGGAGAAUAAGCCCCGACUAACUCUGUGCCAGCAGCCGCGGUAAUACAGAGGGGGCAAGCGUUGUUCGGAAUUACUGGGCGUAAAGGGCGCGUAGGCGGCCCGCUAAGUCGAACGUGAAAUCCCCAGGCUCAACCUGGGAACUGCGUCCGAUACUGGCAGGCUUGAAUCCGGGAGAGGGAUGUGGAAUUCCAGGUGUAGCGGUGAAAUGCGUAGAUAUCUGGAGGAACACCGGUGGCGAAGGCGGCAUCCUGGACCGGUAUUGACGCUGAGGCGCGAAAGCUAGGGGAGCAAA